rnacentral:rRNA from 1 species
CAGCAGCCACGGUAAUACGGAGGGUGCAAGCGUUAAUCGGAAUUACUGGGCGUAAAGCGCACGCAGGCGGUCUGUCAAGUCAGAUGUGAAAUCCCCGGGCUUAACCUGGGAACUGCAUUUGAAACUGGCAGGCUAGAGUCUUGUAGAGGGGGGUAGAAUUCCAGGUGUAGCGGUGAAAUGCGUAGAGAUCUGGAGGAAUACCGGUGGCGAAGGCGGCCCCCUGGACAAAGACUGACGCUCAGGUGCGAAAGCGUGGGGAGCAAACAGGAUUAGAUACCCGUGUAGUCCCUGUCUCUUAUAA